rnacentral:rRNA from 1 species
UACAGAGGUCCCAAGCGUUGUUCGGAUUCACUGGGCGUAAAGGGUGCGUAGGCGGUCGGGUAAGUCUGUCGUGAAAUCUCCGAGCCUAACUCGGAAACUGCGUCGGAUACUAUUCGGCUAGAGGAAUGGAGGGGAGACUGGAAUUCUCGGUGUAGCAGUGAAAUGCGUAGAUAUCGGGAGGAACACCAGUGGCGAAGGCGGCUUCCUGGCCUGUUCUUGACGCUGAGGCGCGAAAGCUAGGGGAGCAAACGGG